rnacentral:pre_miRNA from 1 species
UGUCUACUCCCUCCGUCUGAAAAUACUUGUCAUCAAAAUGGAUAAAAAGAGAUGUAUCUAAAACUAAAAUACGUCUAGAUACAUUUCCUUUUAUCCAUUUUGAUGACAAGUAUUUCCGGACGGAGGGAGUAUUUG